AUGAGGCAUUUCACUGAGGCCAGCCCAGCUGACUCCUUCAAGAGUAACCAUCCAAGUCCUCUGCCUCUCUUCCAUGCCUCUGACAAAAGAUAAUGAACCAAGGGAAAAGGAAGCAAAGCAUUUCCAAGAAGAAAGGGUGACAGAGUUCUUGAACAAAUUCUUCCUUCAACAAUGAAGCAAAUAUUUACAAGAAUCAAAGAAAAACAGUCUAGUGUGGUGACUAGAAUGCCAGACUUAAAGUCAGAUGGAGAGUCUUCUGUUCCCUUGCUUUACUGACAUAAUGAGAAUACUCUUAUUAUAAUGAAGAAAAACAAAAGAGAUGGAUGGUACAGAGGGAUUCUGAGAAAAACCUCAGAGAAUUAUACAAGGGAUCCAGAAGCAUUUAUCAAUUACACUUGCUAUGUACUAGACGUUGUCUGUCCUUCAUUUUUGAAGAGGACCAAUGACACUAUGAGGUAUUAUCUUGAUGUGUGUGUGUGAAAUGGAUUUAAA